UCUCUGUUUUGCUUUUGCAGGCUCCUUCCAAAAGGGUGACUGUGGAAAGUAAGGAUGAAAAUCCAUUUCGCAAGGUGCUGGGCACCCCAGCUCGGGCAUCCAUUAAGAACUCCAGUGGAACUGGAGCACCUGGCAACAGGGGGAAUGUUGCAGCAUCUCCAACAUCGGCAGUCCCUCACAGAACAGGCUUGCUGGAGAGCCGUGAAAAGAGGAAAAGAGCACAACCUCCAAGUUCAGAAAUGAGUGAAGAUUAUCCCAAAGAGAAUGAUUCUUCGACG